rnacentral:rRNA from 1 species
AUGAACGCUAGCGACAGGCCUAACACAUGCAAGUCAGGGGCAGCACAAGGAGCAAUCUGAGGUGGCGACCGGCGGCACGGGUGAGUAACACGUAUGCAACCUGACCUGUAAGCGGGGAAUAACCCGUUGAAAGACGGACUAAUACCGCAUAAUACUAAAUUACUGCAUGGUAAUUUAUUUAAACAUUUAUGGCUUACAGAUGGGCAUGCGCAUGAUUAGCUAGUUGGAGAGGUAACGGCUCCCCAAGGCAACGAUCAUUAGGGGUUCUGAGAGGAAGGUCCCCCACACUGGUACUGAGACACGGACCAGACUCCUACGGGAGGCAGCAGUGAGGAAUAUUGGUCAAUGGACGAGAGUCUGAACCAGCCAAGUCGCGUGCAGGAAGAAUGUCCCUAUGGAUUGUAAACUGCUUUUGCAGGGGAAUAAAGUGCAUCACGUGUGAUGUUUUGUAUGUACUCUGCGAAUAAGGAUCGGCUAACUCCGUGCCAGCCGCAGC